GGGGGUGGAUGGGGCCUGGUGGCUUCCGUGAUCUUCAAAAUCACUGUGACCCUACUUCGUAGGGUCGGGUGGGUUCGAUUCCCACACUCUCCCGCCA
rnacentral:tRNA from 1 species